rnacentral:tRNA from 1 species
GCGGGCGUGGCGAAAUCGGUAGACGCAGCGGGCUUAAAACCCGUUGCCUUUCAAAGGCAUGGGGGUUCGAGUCCCCCCGCCCGCA